rnacentral:rRNA from 1 species
ACUCCAGACUCCUACGGGAGGCAGCAGUGGGGAAUAUUGCACAAUGGGGGAAACCCUGAUGCAGCGACGCCGCGUGAGUGAGGAAGUAUUUCGGUAUGUAAAGCUCUAUCAGCAGGGAAGAAAAUGACGGUACCUGACUAAGAAGCCCCGGCUAACUACGUGCCAGCAGCCGCGGUAAUACGUAGGGGGCAAGCGUUAUCCGGAUUUACUGGGUGUAAAGGGAGCGUAGACGGCUAAUCAAGUCAGAAGUGAAAACCCAGGGCUCAACCUUGGGACUGCUUUUGAAACUGAGUAGCUAGAGUGCAGGAGAGGUAAGCGGAAUUCCUAGUGUAGCGGUGAAAUGCGUAGAUAUUAGGAGGAACACCAGUGGCGAAGGCGGCCUGCUGGGCUUUUACUGACGCUGAGGCUCGAAAGUGUGGGGAGCAAACAGGAUUAGAUACCCGUGUAA